GUCCACGCCGUAAACGAUGUGUGCUAGGUGUGGGCGGUGUCGACUCCGUCCGUGCCGAAGCUAACGCAUUAAGCACCCCGCCUGGGGAGUACUGCCGCAAGGCUAAACUCAAAGGAAUUGACGGGGGCCCGCACAAGCAGCGGAGCAUGUGGUUUAAUUCGACGCGACGCGAAGAACCUUACCAAGGCUUGACAUGCAUUGGAAUGUCGUGGAAACACGGCAGCCCUUCGGGGCCGAUGCACAGGUGGUGCAUGGCUGUCGU
rnacentral:rRNA from 1 species